GACGAACGCUGGCGGCGUGCUUAGAACAUGCAAGUCGAACGGGCUACUUCGGUAGUCUAGUGGCGAACGGCUGAGUAACACGUGAGUGACCUGUCCUUGGGUGGGGGAUAACACCCCGAAAGGGGUGCUAAUACCGCAUGUGACCUCUGGGGUAGAGCCUGGAGGGGAAAGGUAUUUCGCCCGAGUGAGGGGCUCGCGGCCCAUCAGGUAGUUGGUAGGGGUAAUGGCCCACCAAGCCGAUGACGGGUAGCUGGUCUGAGAGGAUGGCCAGCCAGACUGGGACUGAGAGACGGCCCAGACUCCUACGGGAGGCAGCAGUUAGGAAUCUUGCGCAAUGGGGGAAACCCUGACGCAGCGACGCCGCGUGGGUGAAGAAGGCCUUCGGGUCGUAAAGCCCUUUUCCGAGGGACGAUAAUGACGGUACCUCGGGAAUAAGCCCCGGCUAACUACGUGCCAGCAGCCGCAGUAAUAC
rnacentral:rRNA from 1 species